CCUACGGGAGUCUGCAGUGGGGGAUAUUGCACAAUGGGGGAAACCCUGAUGCAGCGACGCCGCGUGGGCGAAGAAGUCUUUCGGUAUGUAAAGCCCUAUCAGCAGGGAAGAAGAAAUGACGGUACCUGCGUAAGAAGCACCGGCUAAAUACGUGCCAGCAGACGCGGUAAUACUGAGGGUGCAAGCGUUAUCCGGCUUUACUGGGUGUAAAGGGGGCGCAGGCGGCCCGGCAAGCCUGAUGGGAAAGCCCGCGGCGCAACCGCGGGACUGCAUUGGGAACUACCGGGCUGGAGUGCCGGAGAGGUAGGCGGAAUUCCUAGUGUAGCGGUGAAAUGCGUAGAGAUGAGGAGGAACACCAGUGGCGAAGGCGGCCUACUGGACGGUGACUGACGCUGAGGCUCGAAAGCGUGGGGAGCAAACAGGAUUAGAUACCCCUGUAGUC
rnacentral:rRNA from 1 species